CAGUCGCCGCGGUAAUACGAAGGGGGCUAGCGUUGCUCGGAAUCACUGGGCGUAAAGGGUGCGUAGGCGGGUCUUUAAGUCAGGGGUGAAAUCCUGGAGCUCAACUCCAGAACUGCCUUUGAUACUGGGUAUCUUGAGUAUGGAAGAGGUGAGUGGAAUUCCGAGUGUAGAGGUGAAAUUCGUAGAUAUUCGGAGGAACACCAGUGGCGAAGGCGGCUCACUGGUCCAUUACUGACGCUGAGGUGCGAAAGCGUGGGGAGCAAACAGGAUUAGAUACCCCCGUAGUCCCUGUCUCUUAUAC
rnacentral:rRNA from 1 species